AAAGACCCAAGCCAUCCCCUUGCUUCUAGCUUCUUGCCUCUCCCUCACUCUUGUGAGCAUGCGACAGAAGUGGAAAUGCAGCAGUGAGGAGGCAAAGCAGCAGUACACUCAGACUGGAUCUAUUCCAGGGAAUAAUAAUAGUGACUGAGUUUCAGAUAAAAGAAAAAAGAAAGACAAGAUGUUGUUUUACUUCCGUGAUUCUUGGGAAAAUGCAAAAAUACCAAUUAAGCUGUAAUUUUAACUCACAGCUGUCUUUCAAUGCCAAUGAAAAAGAUCUGUUUAAAGGCUGACUGAAGCUGCAGAAGGAUUUCUUUCUGGAGAUUCUUCCUUUGGAGUCUUCUACUGUGAUCCUAGGACACGGCCGAAAUGGGACAGGGUUUAUUGAUGGGCUUUCCUUCUGGAUUCCAUUGGCUUGAAGAGGUGGGGUUCUGUAAAGUCUGCAGUGCAUGAAGACUUCUCAUCCCCUUCCUCUGCAGUUCAGCCUCAGGGAAGGACCCUGUCAGGACUGGGUCCCAAGUGUCUUGGUGCUCUGUUUACUCUCCCUCUUGAAUAAACUCUGAGGGCUUUCAAUUGGGGCACUACAGACACCAGCAUGUCUAAAUGAAUUGAACACCUGCUGACACGAAGAAGAACUGAAGUCCAGAACAAUCAUCACUGGGCAUUUCUCAAACACAAGGCUUUCACCUCUGUAUCCGACCGAUCAUAGAGGUUGGGUGAAAAGAAAAGUCUGAGACAGAUUUAAAUUUCUCAGCCAGUUGUGUUGCCUCUGUCAAGUCCUGAUGCUUGAUGCACUUCUCCUGUACCAGCCCUGCACUGGAGCAGGGCCUCCUCUCUGCUGUACAAGACAGUGUUUUCUCCUGCC
ensembl:lncRNA